AAGGUUUCUUGUUAUGUAAAAAAUGCAAAUCGUUCUUUCUAACCAACAUGCUGGGCCAGAUUCCUGCAUGGAGACCUGAAAAAUAGUGGGGCCUUUGGAUAAUGGAACGUUGGACAGUUACAGUUGCUCUUAAGUCUACUGGAGAUCCACAAGCCUAAAAUGAUGUGAAAUCUUGAACAUACGAUCUCUGCAAUACUACUUAAAAUGACUGGGAUUAAAAUGACUAUUGGAACCUCAUACAAUAUUUAGAAUCAGACCACAGCAGCAAUUUCAACCAUCAAUGGCAUUUUAUUUUGGAAGUUUCUAUGUAUUACAUAGGUAUUAACUUCCUUCCUCUCCUACUCCUCCCCACAAAAUCCAGAAAGUUAUUUUUAUACAUAAACAACUGAACAUAUAAAAAUCUCAGACCUAAUUUCUCUAAAGUCUUGGGUUAAAAGAACUUGAGUGGCACUUCUCCUUUCUGAGAGGACUACUUCUUAAGGAGGAUUCAUGGUCUGUCCUUUGCUCACUACAGAUUUCUCCUCU